UUGUUUCUUUGACAAAAAGUUUAACAAAUAGUGCUUGCUUCCGCAACAAUCCAGAGAAGGUUAGUAUGGUCCCUGCACAAGGAUGACAUGCAAACUUGUGAAGCGCCCCAUAUUUUU
rnacentral:snRNA from 1 species